rnacentral:rRNA from 1 species
CCUACGGGCGGCUGCAGUGGGGAAUAUUGCACAAUGGGGGAAACCCUGAUGCAGCGACGCCGCGUGAGUGAAGAAGUAUUUCGGUAUGUAAAGCUCUAUCAGCAGGGAAGAAAAUGACGGUACCUGACUCAGAAGCCCCGGCUAACUACGUGCCAGCAGCCGCGGUAAUACGUAGGGGGCAAGCGUUAUCCGGAUUUACUGGGUGUAAGGGGAGCGUAGACGGCCCGACAAGUCAGUAGUGAAAGCCCAGGGCUCAACCCUGGGAGUGCUUUUGAAACUGCCGGGCUGGAGUGCAGGAGAGGUAAGCGGAAUUCCUAGUGUAGCGGUGAAAUGCGUAGAUAUUAGGAGGAACACCAGUGGCGAAGGCGGCUUACUGGACUGUAACUGACGUUGAGGCUCGAAAGCGUGGGGAGCGAACAGGAUUAGAUACCCCUGUAGUC